rnacentral:rRNA from 1 species
CCUACGGGAGGCAGCAGUGGGGAAUAUUGGACAAUGGGCGCAACCCUGAACCAGCGACGCCGCGUGAAUGAAGACUUCUCUAGGUAUUGUAAGCUUCUUCAGUAGGGAAGUAAAUUACGGUACGUGACCAUGUUGCUCUGGCUAACUACGUGCCAGCAGCCGCGGCAAUACGUAGGGGGCCAGCGUAAUCCGGAUUUACUGGGAGUAAAGGGAGUGUAGGCGGUGGAGCAAGUCUGAUGUGAAAGUUUUGGGCUCAACCGGGGCACUGCAUUGGAAACUGUUAAACUGGAGUGCAGAAGAGGAGAGUGGAACUCCAAGUGUAGCGGUGAAAUGCGUAGAUAUUAGGAAGAACACCAGUGGCGAAAGCGGCUUACUGGACUGUAACUGACGCUGAGGGUCGAAAGCGUGGGUAGCAAACAGGAUUAGAUACCCUAGUAGUC